rnacentral:rRNA from 1 species
GUGCACAGGCGCGAAACUUCACAAUGUGCGAAAGCACGAUGAGGGAAUCCCAAGUGCUUGCUCGUAAGAGUAAGCUGUUUCUCUGUCUAAAACGCAGAGAGAGUAAGGGCUGGGUAAGACGGGUGCCAGCCGCCGCGGUAAUACCUGCAGCUCGAGUGGUGGCCGCUAUUAUUGGGCCUAAAACGUCCGUAGCCGGUUUAUUAAAUGCCUGGGUAAAUCGGACCGCUUAACGGUUCGAAUUCCGGGUAGACUGAUAAACUUGAGACCGGGAGAAGCUAGAGGUACUCCUGGGGUAGAGGUGAAAAUUCUGUAAUCCUAGGGGGACCACCAGUGGCGAAGGCGUCUAGCUAGAACGGGUCUGACGGUGAGGGACGAAGCCCUGGGGCGCAAAACGGGGAUUAGAUA